GGCAGUGGUAGCUCAGUGGUUAAGAUAUUGGACUACUGAUCGGAAGGUCAUGAGUUCAAAUCCUAGCACUGCCA